GCCUGCAGUUACUCUGCAGCAGGAAGAACGGGUGGUAUCUGGCCUGAAAUUAAUCUUUCCCCAUAUUUAUUUACUUUAAAAGACAAUCCUGGAAUAAAUAGAGGCAUCUGGAGGACCAAGAAAUAUUUUUGCUGGCCUCUUCAGAGAGUCUGCUUUGGAUUCACGCUGUCUAUUGUGUGCGAUCCACCCCCCCCCUCCCCUUUAUUUAUUUAUUUUUUUUAAUAGCAGAAAAGGAACAAAAGAAAGAGAGAAAGAACUUGGUCUGGCAGAAGUGAAGAGGAAGGGAGUGGGGAAAGGACAAAGCGGGGGGAAGAAGGGAACUUCGGAGCUGCUGAGGGCUGAGAUGCAGAGGGAAGUUGGCUGCAGCUGACUUCGCUUUCUCGCACGGAGCGAUCGGAGCUCAGCACCGCCCUUCCCAGCUCCGCACGGCCGAGGGAAGAAUCGCUCAAAGCGAAAGCAAAAAGGUUUGGAAGGGAGAGGAAAAGGAUGCACUGCGCUGAGCACACAGCAUUGCCCGGGAGCGGGCGGACAUGGCAAGGAGCAUUCAGCCCCGAAAAGGUGUCAGAAGUCAAUGGCUCAGACAAAGGCUUCGUCUUCUAUAACCUCCUCAUUUGCCAGGAGAGACUCUUUCUUAAUCCAUUUUUCCUUCCUCCACCGGGAAAUAAAAGAAAUAUCAGAUAGGAUUCCUACGGCUCGUGGGCUGCUAGCGUUAGUUUUGCUCCGUGCCACCAAGUUCCUUCCCCCUGCAGAUUGAAAAGAGGAGGUGAGAGAGGCAAAGCUGUGAGUCUACCCGGAAAGGGACCCGGUGGUUCACCGUCAUUUCGAGAAGCGAUCAUCUCCCCUCCAAGAGGGAAAUCGGAGCUUUUGCGGAGCACAAACGCUGCGAGAUAUAACCUUGCAGGAGCCGAAUGCGAUGGCAAAGCGUGCUGCAAAUGCGGUGCGGAUCUUUGCUCGUGCUUCUGGCCAGGAGGAAUGCUCGGGAUCCCGCUGCUCUGAGCGGACUUUGAUUCUCGUAACUUUGAGCUCAGCCACGAGGGAUGGCUUCGGAUCGAGAGGAGAGAGGAUGGAGUGUUUUGCGGGGGGUUCGAGUUCGUGCUUUGGGAUUCCGCAGCACAGAGGGGGGAGAGGAGGCUGCGUUAACCCCGCGUCUGUAGUUUGCUGUAAGGUGAAGUGUCUCCAUCUCCUCCUCGCACUGCUCGGUGCAAUCCCCGAACGGAUGGGGGGUGUUUGUACUGCAAUCGCGAUCGUUUCACGCGUGUGUUUGCGGGUGUGGGAGCGUGUGAGGGAGCCCACGGCGAUGCGGGGAGCGAAACGCUCCGUGCAAUGGAGGUUCCCGUGUAAAUAAAAGAAAUCUUCACCAAGAUA